CCAUGCCUGAUUUAAAUAGAGCUUGGAAAAGCUGUCCAUGGCUUUCAAUGGAUAGUGAAUGAACUGUCCGAGGUGCUGAAGUCCUCCUCUCAAAAACAUGGAUCGCUUUUUUUAAAGUUCAGGCUUUGAAAGUCGUUCUUUUCCAAGGUUUCGUUUGUAAUUUUUUUAAUGGUCAAGAAAACUGUGAUGGUGCCGAAAGACUUCGCUUGAGACUGUAUCCAAAAUUUCGGAAUAAUUCAUCUGAGGCUAAAAGAAAUCACGCUGGAAGAGUUCCUUUCAGGCAACAAAAUGGCAGCCAAGCUAUUUUUGGGACUACAAAAUGGCAUCAAAGUUCUUUUUUUUUUUUUGAGGUGACAAAAUGGCAGCCGAGAGAGUUCUUUUGGGACUAGAAAAUGGUUUUCCUUGAGGUUACACAACUUUGCGUCAAGGUUCUUUUAAGGUGAUGAAAUGACUGCAAAGUUUUUUUUAAGGUUCAAAAUGGCGACAAAGAUCUUCUGAGGUCCAAAAUGGGACAGUCCUUUUGAGGCAACAAAAUGGUGGGAAAAUUCUAUUGAGUCAACAAAAUGGCGUCAAAGUUCUUUUGAGGCAGCAAAAUGGCGGGAAAGUUCUGCUGAGGCAACAAAAUGGUGUCAAAGUUCUAUUGAGGUGACAAAAUGGCAGCAGAGUUCUUUUGGGACUAGAAAAUUGUGUUCCUUGGGGUGGCAAAAUGGCGUCAAAGUAAUUUUGAGGGGACAAAAAAGCGUGAAAGUUCUUUGAAGGCAACAAAAUAGCAUCAAAAUUAUUUCAAGGUGACAAAAUGGAGGGCAAGUUCUAUUGAGGCGACAAAAUGGCGUCAAAGUUCUUUUUGAGGUGACAAAACGGCAGCAGAGUUCUUUUGGGACUAGAUAAUUGUGUUCCUUGGGGUGACAAAAUGGCGUCAAAGAUCUUUUUGAGGCAACAAAAUGGCGGGAAAGUUCUGCUGAGGUGACAAAAUGGCGUCAAAGAUCUUUUUGAGGCAACAAAAUGGCAGGAAAGUUCUGCUGAGGUGACAAAAUGGCAUCAAAGAUCUUUUUGAGGCAACAAAAUGGCGGGAAAGUUCUGCUGAGGUGACAAAAUGGCGUCAAAGAUCUUUUUGAGGCAACAAAAUGGCGGGAAAGUUCUGCUGAGGUGACAAAAUGGCAUCAAAGAUCUUUUUGAGGCAACAAAAUGGCGGGAAAGUUCUGCUGAGGUGACAAAAUGGCGUCAAAGAUCUUUUUGAGGCAACAAAAUGGCGGGAAAGUUCUGCUGAGGUGACAAAAUGGCGUCAAAGAUCUUUUUGAGGCAACAAAAUGGCGGGAAAGUUCUGCUGAGGUGACAAAAUGGCGUCAAAGAUCUUUUUGAGGCAACAAAAUGGCGGGAAAGUUCUGCUGAGGUGACAAAAUGGCGUCAAAGAUCUUUUUGAGGCAACAAAAUGGCGGGAAAGUUCUGCUGAGGUGACAAAAUGGCAUCAAAGAUCUUUUUGAGGCAACAAAAUGGCGGGAAAGUUCUGCUGAGGUGACAAAAUGGUGUCAAAGAUUUUUUUGAGGUGACAAAUUGGCAGCAGAGUUCUUUUGGGACUAGAAAAUGGUGUUUCUUGGGGUUACAAAAUGGCGUCAAAGUUGUUUUGAAGCUACAAAAUGGUGGGAAAGUUCUUUUGAGGCAACAAAAUGGCAGCAGAGUUCUUUUGGGACUAGAAAAUGGUGUUUCUUGGGGUUACAAAAUGGUGUCAAAGUUCUUUUGAAAUGACAAAAUGGCAGUAGAGUUCUUUUGAGGCGACAAAAUGGUGGGAAAGUUAAAUUGAGAUGGCAAAAUGGCAGCAGAAUUCUUUUGGAGCUGCAAAAUGGCGGCAAAUGUUUACAACUCACAGGAUUAUGUAGCAGUUAAAAUGGAACCAAAGUGUACCAAUUCGAUAGUGUAGAUGCACCCGGUAGGCUGUUAGGAAUUGUGGUUGUAGUCCAAAACACCCAAGUUUGCCCAUGCCUGGAAUAAAGUGUUCAGCAAGGAACAUAUUGGAAAAACCCUUGCGAGGCUGCUUGAUUUCUCUUCCAUUUCAUCUCAUCCUCAGAACCUCAUUCAUCUGCGCUAGUGACGGCAUGCACAGGACAUUAGAAGAGGGAACAAAUUUGCUCCAUUGUCUCUGCGAUGGCCCUUCAGAUAGUUGAAGAUGCUCAUCUGAUUGCCUCUUAAGCAUCGCCUCCCCAGGCCGAAUGCGUCUCAACAUUUCUCCAUAUCUUUUUUCCAACGAUUCGUCCUUGGAAGCCUGCAAAGAUAAAGAACAACCUGAGCUGACCUGCAUUGGAGCUGCUGCGAAGGCACAUCAAGCAAUAUAGAAGCAUAUGCUUCCAAUGCAACAAACAGACCGCACUCCCUUCUGCAGCUAAUGGAAAUAGCAAAAGGUGCGACCGUGAUGGGAGGCCGCUGGGGAGCAUCGCUUUGUGUGGGAUUCCCUAUAACCGCGGCCGGUGUUGCCUGGCAACGGAGUCAAAAGAUGAGGAUGCAAUUGGGAAACGUGCAAAAAAGUAAUUAAUAAAAAACAUACUGAGGAAAGAUACUGAGCUCCUCGGCUCCUACACCUGCACUUGCAUGCACUCAAAGAGAGAUUCCAUCUCAAUAUUAAGGAAGGACUUCCUGAUGGACAGAGGUUUUCAACAGUGGAAUAUGCUGCAGAGUGUCUCAGUUUCUGGAGGUUUUUUAAACAGCAAUUGGAGGGCCAUCUGUCAAGAGGGCUUUGAUUGUGAAGCUACGAAAAAUCCCAUUCAUAAGUUUCCAAGUAAUUUGGGACAGAGAGAGGGCUUUUUAUGAUUCCACAGAUGAAAAUACUUUCUAUUCAAUUGAGAGAAUGCCCCAGAUGCAGGUGAAACGUCAGGAGCAAAUGCUACUGAAAUAUGGCCAUAAGCCCAAAAACCCACAGCAACCAAGAGGAUUAUUGUGUUGUGUGCCUUCAACAAGUUUCAGACUUAAGGCAACUCUGAAUCUGAAGUUGAAAUUUAGGGUGAGGGCUGGGUAAAGGAACUUGGAGGGCCACAUCUGGCCUGCAGACCUUAGAUUGGGGACCCCUGGCCUACAAUAUUUUUCUACCUGAUCUAUCCAAUCUAUCAUCUACAGUAGCUAGUACCUAUUGUAGCUACGGUAUGUAUUUACAGUUUGUUGUUUUUGUUAUUAUUAUUAUAUCCCCAGUAUCUAUCUAUAAUAGUAUCUAUGUCUAUCCUCUUCCCUCUCUAAGCUCUCUCCCUUUGGACAAGAGUCUCACUAUGCAUACGACACUGACAAAUGUUGGCUUCUUUUGACAAACAUGUGCAAAGAAACCUUGACAUUUAAUUGAUAAGCUUUAAUGAAAAGAAGAACUGAUCUUUUGUAAAUGAUAGGAUAUUAAAAGGGAAAAACAGACUCGAGGUCUUCAUUCCCUCCCUGUGUCAAGAGUGCGUGGGUUGUGUAUUUCUGCAUGGAAAAAUAGUGUUGGGCUGGAUGGGCCCAAGUGUGUCUUCCAGCUCUAAGAUCAAACACAGAAAUGCAGAUGACGGUGUCUUUUAUUGGCUCAGAUUAUUCAUUGAGUCCAGUGUUUCCUGCUCCAAAGGUCUUGCACAAGGCAAGUUCCUUCUCCCUACUAAUACUCAGAUCUUUCAAAAUGGGAUGCUUUU